UGAGUGAGGGCCUCCGGGCCCGACCUCCACCCUUCUGUGAACCACCUCGUUGCUUCGGGGGUGACCCCGCCGUUCUCGGGCGGCGGCGGCACCCCCGGAGGCCAUUCAAACCCUGCGUAACUUAGUGUCGGAGUUUAAAAUAAAUUAAACAAAACUUUCAACAACGGAUCUCUUGGUUCUGGCAUCGAUGAAGAACGCAGCGAAAUGCGAUAAGUAAUGUGAAUUGCAGAAUUCAGUGAAUCAUCGAAUCUUUGAACGCACAUUGCGCCCCCUGGUAUUCCGGGGGGCAUGCCUGUUCGAGCGUCAUUACACCAAUCAAGCCUGGCUUGGUAUUGGGCGUCGCGGGUUUGCUCGCGCGCCUCAAAGUCUUUCCCGGCUGGGCGGCUCCGUUCUCCAUGCGUGGUGGUUUUAAUCAUUCGCGGCGGGAGCGGGCGGCGCGGCCGUUAAACUACCCCUUCAAAGGUUGACCUCGGAUCAGGUAGGGAUACCCGCUGAACUUAAGCAUAUCAAUAAGCGGAGGAAAAGAAACCAACAGGGAUUGCCCUAGUAACGGCGAGUGAAGCGGCAACAGCUCAAAUUUGAAACCUGGCGCUUGCGUCCGGAUUGUAAUUUGCAGAGGAUGCUUCUGGGCAGCGGCCGUUCUAAGUUCCUUGGAACAGGACGUCAUAGAGGGUGAGAAUCCCGUAUGUGACCGGCGCGCACCCUCCACGUAGCUCCUUCGAAGAGUCGAGUUGUUUGGGAAUGCAGCUCUAAAUGGGAGGUAAAUUCCUUCUAAAGCUAAAUAUUGGCCAGAGACCGAUAGCGCACAAGUAGAGUGAUCGAAAGAUGAAAAGCACUUUGGAAAGAGAGUUAAAAAGCACGUGAAAUUGUUGAAAGGGAAGCGCUUCCAACCAGACUCCGCGGCGGUGUUCCGCCGGUCUUCUGACCGGUCCACUCGCCGCCGUGGGGCCAACAUCGUCUGGGGCCGCCGGAUAAGACCGGAGGAAUGUAGCUCUUUGAGUGUUAUAGCCUCCGGUGAUGCGGCGCGCCCCGGGCGAGGUCCGCGCUC
rnacentral:rRNA from 1 species